ensembl:lncRNA
GUACAAAAUGUGUGUUGCUUUGUUGUGGUUUAUUUUUAUAUGUUCAAACAAUUAAAUGCAUCCACUGUUUCAUGGCAGUGAAUGAUACAUUUGUAGUAGUGCACUCUGUUUUUCUGACUCGUUUUCCCGAAUGCGUUUUAAAUGAACAUCUAUCUAUGUCAUGUGUUUCUACAAAUGUCUUUCUUUUUUGCUGUUUAUUUUCAACCUUUUGUAUAAGGCUUCAUUGUCCCAUGCAUAAUUUAUUUUUCUAAAUGCGACGCUUGUUAUGUAUUUAAGUCUGUUCCCAUUCCUUAACAGUCCGUUUUGGUAACAUGUUCUUCCAGCAUUCAUAUGGAAUGGCAGGGCUCCACAUGUUCUCUGGAACAUGCUGUGGUAAUUACUUUUAAAUGGGCUCAUGCUACUGUACCAUUCAGGUCUGAUGCCCUGGAGAAACUCUCGACUCGCACACAGUCCCCCCAUUUAGAACCACAUUGUCCACUGGGAGCCAAGCCGCACUUUUUGUGUUCACAUGUUCAUUAAUACACAGCUAAAGCCAAAACACCAGCGAGUCCAGCCGGCGGCUCCGGCCAAAUCAUUAACAUGAACCAAGCCAAGGUCAACACUGUUAAUACUCUAUUCGUGUUGCCGGACUCUGUCGUGUAGUUCUAAUAUAUUUAUUUGACACACAGUGCAUGUGUGUAAGAGGACAUGUGUAGAAUAAUAUUGCACUACACUCAUGAUGCCUUUAGCUCUGUGUGUAAAUUGUCUAUCUGUGUUUUUUUCUUUAUUUUCUAGUGGCUUCCAAUUGUUCUCGUUUACAAGGAUUGAACAUGCAGUGAGCCACCAGAUGGAGAUAGACGUCCCAGAAAAUAUGUCUGUUGCGGAAAGGGUUGGCAGAGACAUCUGUCCGAUGUCCUCAGAGCGUGUGUUAUUGUUCAGCUUGUGGACAGCAGAUGGCUUAAGCAAUGCAGGACAUUCCCCUCGCCAAAAAAUCCCAGAGAAACACUCGAACAGGCAUGUUGGCUGAAUUGAGAAAAAGAAACAAAUUUAAAUUCAUUGCUUUGUCAGUUAAUAUUGUAAUGAUUUUGAUGAAACAGUA